rnacentral:rRNA from 1 species
AUGAACGCUGGCGGCGUGCCUAAUACAUGCAAGUCGAACGAACAGACGAGGAGCUUGCUCCUCUGACGUUAGCGGCGGACGGGUGAGUAACACGUGGAUAACCUACCUAUAAGACUGGUAUAACUUCGGGAAACCGGAGCUAAUACCGGAUAAUAUAUUGAACCGCAUGGUUCAAUAGUGAAAGACGGUUUUGCUGUCACUUAUAGAUGGAUCCGCGCCGCAUUAGCUAGUUGGUAAGGUAACGGCUUACCAAGGCAACGAGGCGUAGCCGACCUGAGAGGGGGAUCGGCCACACAGGAACUGAGACACGGUCCAGACUCCUACGGGAGGCAGCAGUAGGGAAUCUUCCGCAAUGGGCGAAAGCCUGACGGAGCAACGCCGCGUGAGUGAUGAAGGUCUUCGGAUCGUAAAACUCUGUUAUUAGGGAAGAACAAAUGUGUAAGUAACUAUGCACGUCUUGACGGUACCUAAUCAGAAAGCCACGGCUAACUACGUG